GGGGUGUGUGCGGACCAACGAUGUGAGCUAUACCCUCUGUGGACGGAGCGUUUUGCAUCACUGUCGAACCUGGUUUACCUGUUGUGGUUUGAAGCGACACUCCUGUGUGGCUCAGCGUCAAUCCUGCAACCCAUAGAGGGAGUAUGUUUAAUUCAGCGCCACCGGGAAGUCUGGUCAAUUCCGAUCCAUUUCCGCCUACCAAUGUCACACCACCAACCAUUUUAUGCGUGGUUUGCGCAUCUCCUGCUCUUAUCCUUGUUUGAGCAUCUGCAAUUCAAUUCACAAAUAUUAUAUUAUCUAAAUAGUUAAAAGAUUAAUAAUAGUUUCAACGGAUCUUUUUUUACAUAAUACAAUAUUCUUCUUCAUAUUUCUCCAUAAAAUUCCAAAAAUUAUAUUCUCUAAUUAGUAAUGUUGACAACAUAGAGAAAUAUAUAUAAUCUAAUUGAAGAGAAUUGAAUGAAUAUGCACAAAUAAGACACAAAAAAUUUAUAAAUACACUGUAUGCACAAGAUAGUCCUCAAAUGCACAAAUGUAACUGGCCUGACGUCAUUGGCGGACGACUGCACGGCUAGGGCCAACGGCCUGUCGUUGUUGGAUAGAUUAGAAUGCACGAUCGUUACCCUGUUGUCGUUGGCCGUGGACGAGUGAACGAC